rnacentral:rRNA from 1 species
AACGAACGUUGGCGGCGUGGAUUAGGCAUGCAAGUCGUACGAGUUUCAUCUGGGUAACUGGCUGAAAAAAGUGGCGAAAGGGGCAGUAAGGCAUGGAUAAUCUACCCUGAUGACCGGGAUAGCUGUCCCAACGGGCAGGUAAUACCGGAUGAGCUGGUGGGGCCGCAUGGUUCUGCCAGGAAAGGCGCAGGCCGUGUCGGGAGGAAUCCAUGUGAUAUUAGCUAGUUGGUGAGGUAAAGGCUCACCAAGGCGAAGAUGUCUAGCGGGUGUGAGAGCACGACCCGCGCCAUUGGCACUGAGACACUGGCCAGACUCCGACGGGAGGCUGCAGGCGAGGAUCUUCGGCAAUGGGCGAAAGCCUGACCGAGCGACGCCGCGUGAGCGAUGAAGGCCAUUAGGUUGUAAAGCUCUGUCGAGGGGGAACAAGCCGCAAGGCUGAGUGAUCCCUGGAGGAAGCACGGGCUAAGUUCGUG